rnacentral:rRNA from 1 species
GACGAACGCUGGCGGCGUGCUUAACACAUGCAAGUCGAACGGAAAGGCCCUGCUUGCGGGGUGCUCGCGUGGGGAAAGGGUGAGUAAAACGUGGGUGAUAUGCGCUGCACUUCGGGAUAAGACUGGGAAACUGGGUCUAAUACCGGAGAGGAGACAUCCUUCGUCUGAGGGGUGGAUAGUUUUUUCGGUGUGGGAUGGGCUCGCGGCCUAUCAGCUUGUUGGUGGGGUAAUGGCCUACCAAGGCGGCGACGGGUAGCCGGCCUGAGAGGGUGGGCGGCCACAUUGGGACUGAGAUACGGCCCAGACUCCUACGGGAGGCAGCAGUGGGGAAUAUUGCACAAUGGGCGGAAGCCUGAUGCAGCGACGCCGCGUGGGGGAUGACGGCCUUCGGGUUGUAAACUCCUUUCGCUAGGGACGAAGCGUGUGUGACGGUACCUAGAUAAGAAGCACCGGCUAACUACGUG